UACGUAGGGGGCAAGCGUUGUCCGGAAUUAUUGGGCGUAAAGAGCUCGUAGGCGGUUUGUUGCGUCGGCUGUGAAAUCCCGAGGCUCAACCUCGGGUCUGCAGUCGAUACGAGCAAACUAGAGUGUUGCAGGGGAGACUGGAAUUCCUGGUGUAGCGGUGAAAUGCGCAGAUAUCAGGAGGAACACCGGUGGCGAAGGCGGGUCGCUGGGCCGAUACUGACGCUGAGGAGCGAAAGCGUGGGGAGCGAACAGG
rnacentral:rRNA from 1 species